AUUUUUCUCCCCAAAUUGAAACACACAGAAAUGGAAACCCUCUCUAUGCCUCACCAUCUCUAGCCACACUUCAAAGGACGAUACCGUCGCCGCUCCGGCAACACUUCCGUCAAAGGUUUGGCUGCCUCCCACUUCACCAUUUCGGACCGUGCUUGGGACGAAGGUUGUCGCCACUCCAGGAACACUUCCAUCCAAGUUUCACUGGUCAUGCUUGACCAUCUCCAACCGCCAGUGAAAUCAGACGACAAUUAUCACUCUUCCUCACGCCAUUUGGGAAUUGGUUGCUGGACAAAGGCAUGUAGUGAAUUCACCCCCAAUUCUUUAAUUUUUGCCUAUGUUAUAAGUAGUCUGAAACUAAAAAUGGUUAUUAUGCAUUCAUCAGUCCGAAAAUACUAACACUGAAAUAUCAUGUUAAUAUUUUUUUUCAUUUUUCUGCUACAUUGGUCAUGGAGCUAACCCUUUUCACUAAGCUAAAAAAUGAUUGUCAGAUUCAAUUAUAUUUAGAGGGAGAAACAUUAUCUUGUAGGCAAAAUAGUUAAAUUUCUGGUAUAAAAAUCCUGUUCUUUGGAUAAAGCAGAUAUCAAGUUCCAACAUUACUACAAUUGCAUCUCUUUAAGUUAAUUGUAAACUGUGGUUUAUUUUCAUUAUAGAAUGGGAGGAAAGAAUACUGGAAUCGUCAUAGCUGUAGAUCUAAGGGCCACUUCUUUGUCGACUGCCCAUGGAAACCUCGAUGCCCAAAUUGUAAGCAUGGACUCGAGAAGUGUUUUGUAGUGUAGAAGUAGACGAUGAAUAAAGGGUGUUUGUUUCUUUGUUGCAGUGAGAAAUGUGGAUUUUGGGAAUGAGUUGCGAAAAAUCAAUCAAGUGGUCAAUCCUCUAGCGAUAACUCUU
rnacentral:lncRNA from 1 species